rnacentral:RNase_P_RNA from 1 species
GCAGACUAUGCGGUAGCGGAAACGUUUUAGUUUACGAGGAAAGUCCGAGCAUCACAGAGCAGGGUAGCUGCUAACGGCAGCCGAGGGCGACCUUAGGGCAAGUGCAACAGAGAUAUACUGCCUCAUUUUUGAGGUGAUGGUGGAAAGGCAGGGUAAGAGCCUACCAGAGUACAGGAGACUGUACUGCUAUGUAAACCCUAUCCGAUGCAACGUCUAUUGGUGCUGAAUAUUCUAACGUCUGCUCGGCGUAUAUUCAGUAACGGCGGCUUGAGCAAUCCGGCGACGGCUUGCAUAGAUAAAUUACCGCACUCGACAGAACUCGGCUUAUCGGUCUGGUC